CCUACGGGAGGCAGCAGUGAGGAAUAUUGGUCAAUGGGAGGAAUCCUGAACCAGCCAUGCCGCGUGCAGGACGACGGCUCUACGAGUUGUAAACUGCUUUUGUACCGGGGUAAAAUGCUCUACGAGUAGGGGUUUGAGAGUACGGUACGAAUAAGGAUCGGCUAACUCCGUGCCAGCAGCCGCGGUAAUACGGAGGAUCCGAGCGUUAUCCGGAUUCAUUGGGUUUAAAGGGUGCGUAGGUGGUUUUAUAAGUUAGCGGUGAAAUACCGAGGCUCAACAUCGGGGCGGCCGCUAAUACUGUAGGACUAGAGAUCGGAUGCAGCAGGCGGAAUGUGGAGGGUAGCGGUGAAAUGCAUAGAUAUUACACAGAACACCGAUUGCGAAGGCAGCUUGCGAGGCCGGAUCUGACACUGAGGCACGAAAGCGUGGGGAUCGAACAGGAUUAGAUACCCGAGUAGUC
rnacentral:rRNA from 1 species